AGGAAACAAAGUGCUGCGAGCAGGAGACGGCGGCGGCGCGAACCCUGCUGGGCCUCCAGUCACCCUCGUCUUGCAUUUUCCCGCGUGCGUGUCUAUGCUAAGAAGGAAUCUGAUCUUAAUGGCGCCCAGAUCAAGCUUCGAGAAUAUGAAGCAGCACUGAAUUCGAAAGAUGCAGCUCUUGCUACUGCACUUGGUGACAAAAAAAGUUUAGAGGGAGAUUUGGAGGAUCUGAGGGAUCAGAUUGCCCAGUUGGAAGCCUCCUUAGCUGCAGCCAAAAAACAGUUAGCAGAUGAAACUUUACUUAAAGUAGAUUUGGAGAAUCGUUGUCAGAGCCUUACUGAGGACUUGGAGUUUCGCAAAAACAUGUAUGAAGAGGAGAUUAACGAGACCAGAAGGAAGCAUGAAACGCGCUUGGUAGAGGUGGAUUCUGGGCGUCAAAUUGAGUAUGAGUACAAGCUGGCACAAGCCCUUCAUGAGAUGAGAGAGCAACAUGAUGCCCAAGUGAGGCUGUAUAAGGAGGAGCUGGAGCAGACUUACCAUGCCAAACUUGAGAAUGCCAGACUGUCAUCAGAGAUGAAUACUUCUACUGUCAACAGUGCCAGGGAAGAACUGAUGGAAAGCCGCAUGAGAAUUGAGAGCCUUUCAUCCCAGCUUUCUAAUCUACAGAAAGAGUCUAGAGCAUGUUUGGAAAGGAUUCAAGAAUUAGAGGACUUGCUUGCUAAAGAAAAAGACAACUCUCGUCGCAUGCUGACAGACAAAGAGAGAGAGAUGGCGGAAAUAAGGGAUCAAAUGCAGCAACAGCUGAAUGACUAUGAACAGCUUCUUGAUGUAAAGUUAGCCCUGGACAUGGAAAUCAGUGCUUACAGGAAACUCUUAGAAGGCGAAGAAGAGAGGUUGAAGCUGUCUCCAAGCCCUUCUUCCCGUGUGACAGUAUCCCGAGCAUCCUCAAGUCGUAGUGUACGUACAACUAGAGGAAAGCGGAAGAGGGUUGAUGUGGAAGAAUCAGAGGCGAGUAGUAGUGUUAGCAUCUCUCAUUCCGCCUCAGCCACUGGAAAUGUUUGCAUCGAAGAAAUUGAUGUUGAUGGGAAAUUUAUCCGCUUGAAGAACACUUCUGAACAGGAUCAACCAAUGGGAGGCUGGGAGAUGAUCAGAAAAAUUGGAGACACAUCAGUCAGUUAUAAAUAUACCUCAAGAUAUGUGCUGAAGGCAGGCCAGACUGUUACAAUUUGGGCUGCAAACGCUGGUGUCACAGCCAGCCCCCCAACUGACCUCAUCUGGAAGAACCAGAACUCGUGGGGCACUGGCGAAGAUGUGAAGGUUAUAUUGAAAAAUUCUCAGGGAGAGGAGGUUGCUCAAAGAAGUACAGUCUUUAAAACAACCAUACCUGAAGAAGAGGAGGAGGAGGAAGAAGCAGCUGGAGUGGUUGUUGAGGAAGAACUUUUCCACCAGCAGGGAACCCCAAGAGCAUCCAAUAGAAGCUGUGCAAUUAUGUAAAAUUUUCAACUGUCUUCCUCAAAAUAAAGAAGUAUGGUAAUCCUUACCUGUAUACAGUGCAGAGCCUUCUCAGAAGCACAGAAUAUUUUUAUAUUUCCUUUAUGUGAAUUUUUAAGCUGCAAAUCUGAUGGCCUUAAUUUCCUUUUUGACACUGAAAGUUUUAUAAAAGAAAUCAUGUCCAUACACUUUGUUGCAAGAUGUGAAUUAUUGACACUGAACUUAAUAACUGUGUACUGUUCGGAAGGGGUUCCUCAAAUUUUUUGACUUUUUUUGUAUGUGUGUUUUUUCUUUUUUUUUAAGUUCUUAU
rnacentral:sRNA from 1 species